GACGAACGCUGGCGGCGUGCCUAAUACAUGCAAGUCGAACGAGAUCCCGGAGCUUGCUCCGGGGGACAGUGGCGAACGGGUGAGUAACACGUGAGAAACCUGCCCUAGAGACCGGGACAACCGUUGGAAACGACGGCUAAUACCGGAUGCCUUCACAUGGUCGCAUGGCCGAGUGAAGAAAUGCUCAGGUGCUCUAGGAGGGUCUCGCGGCCUAUCAGCUAGUUGGUGAGGUAACGGCUCACCAAGGCAUCGACGGGUAGCUGGUCUGAGAGGACGAUCAGCCACACUGGGACUGAGACACGGCCCAGACUCCUACGGGAGGCAGCAGUAGGGAAUCUUGCGCAAUGGGGGAAACCCUGACGCAGCAACGCCGCGUGUGGGAUGACGGCUUUCGGGUUGUAAACCACUUUCAGUGAUGACGAAAAUGACGGUAAUCACAGAAGAA
rnacentral:rRNA from 1 species